rnacentral:rRNA from 1 species
UUUAGCUUGCUAGAGAAAGUAAGUGGCGCACGGGUGAGUACGCGUGGGUAAUCUGCUCCGAAUCGGGGAUAAGAUUGCGAAAGCGAUGCUAAUACCGGAUAAAAUCUGGUUGGCUUCGGUGAACCGGAUCAAAGGUGGUCUCUUUAUAAAAGCUACCGUUUGGAGAUGAGCUCGCGUACCAUUAGCUAGUUGGUGAGGUAAAGGCUCACCAAGGCGACGAUGGUUAGCUGGUCUGAGAGGAUGAUCAGCCACACCGGAACUGGAACACGGUCCGGACUCCUACGGGAGGCAGCAGUGAGGAAUUUUGCGCAAUGGGGGAAACCCUGACGCAGCAACGCCGCGUGAGUGAUGAAGGCUUUCGGGUCGUAAAGCUCUGUCAGGUGGGAAGAACCCACCAAGUGUUAAGACCACUUGGUGCUGACGGUACCACCGAAGGAAGCACCGGCUAACUCCGUGCCAGCAGCCGCGGUAAUACGGGGGGUGCGAGCGUUAUUCGGAAUCAUUGGGCGUAAAGGGCGCGCAAGCGGUUUUGUAAGUCAGAUGUGAAAUCCCGGGGCUUAACCCCAGGAAGUGCAUAUGAAACUAUGAGACUUGAGUAUGGGAGAGGGAAGCGGAAUUCCUGGUGUAGCGGUGAAAUGCGUAGA